CUUUAAUGCUAAAGCUAGUUUAGAUUGCACAAAAAUAUAUAAUGUUAAAGCUACUAAUACCCUGUGUCUACGCAAAGCAAGGUUCAUAAUUAUACUACUUAACGUGGAUUUGCGACUUACAAUUAAUAAUUAUCGAAAAUAUAUUUUGUAUUUCGUGCACAAUUCUAUUAGUACGCAUGCGCGCGUGACCGCAGCACAUACUCAUGUCGCUGCAAUUCGUCGAAGUGACAGGUUUCUUAACCUGAAAAGUCGUCAACUUUGACGCUAAAUAUCUCGUCUCGCGGAGGAGAGCGACAAUUUUGUGGAAGGAAAAGUUAAAAAAAAAAGCGUCGAAAGAGCCUAAUUGGAUCAAAAUCGGAGCGUAAUCAUUUCACGCAUGCAAGGUGUUCUGGUGAUGCUGAUGGUGAUGGCAAUAAUGAUGACAGCAUUAAACGGGAAAUGUAAUUGAUCCAAUGUCACGUGUUUGCACUAUGCUUAUUCAUUAAUAGAAUAAUGCUCAUGCGUCAUAGCACGCGAUGGGGUAGCUAAAGCGUUCCAAGGUGAUUACUUCGAAACUAUUGAAGAUAACGACUUCGAUUUUUUUAAAUAUUUUUUAAAUUUAGAGCUAAAACGAAUUCAAUGGUAUGAUAUACGACAACAUGAUCUUCAAAUGACCUUCAAAUGACUUGUACAGGAAAAUCUGCAUUAAAUUAAUUUCAUGUUUGCUGCAUAGAUGGCAAUAGAUUUAAUGACUGAAAGCGCUCCUUAUGUUUGUAAACACACACUUCGGCUCAUAACGCAACACAUUAAAUGCUCAGGGAUGUAGAUAAACAAAUGCAGAACGUACGUAGGAUAUUGGAAAAUCACAAUUUAAUAAAUUGUGCAAACAUAAAGACAUUGAUUACUUAAGAAAAUGUUCAAAAUGAUGUCCUAAACUUUUGGAGCCUAUAUACAAGAGAUUGUCAAAUUGCGGCCAGAAUAUCUGGUGUAAUUUCAAUACAGGCACAGUAAAUUCUAUUUUUCAUACCUUCUGAUGUAAUUGGAGAAAAUGACGACCCGUUCUUUGACAAAAUCCGACAGAAAUAAAUCAAAUGAACUUAGA